GAUGAACGCUGGCGGCGUGCUUAACACAUGCAAGUCGAGCGGGCAAUUUAUCUAGCACUGAUUACUUCAAAUGGCUAUCGCCAGUGUAAUCAUGAAUUUCUACCUUAUUAAUAAAGAAAGAGAAAUUCAUGUACGCAAAUAGUGAUAACACAUUUUAGUGGAGUGAUGAGUGCUGGAUAAAUUGCUAGCGGCGGACGGGUGCGUAACACGUGGGUAACCUGCCCCUAUCACUGGGAUAACACACUGAAAAGUGUGCUAAUACCAGAUAAUAUAAGCUUUUGGCAUCAUUAGCUUAUCAAAGAAUUUCGGAUAGGGAUGGGCCCGCGUCUGAUUAGCUAGUUGGUGAGGUAACGGCUCACCAAGGCAACGAUCAGUAGCCGACCUGAGAGGGUGAUCGGCCACACUGGAACUGAGACACGGCCCAGACUCCUACGGGAGGCAGCAGUAGGGAAUUUUCGGCAAU
rnacentral:rRNA from 1 species